rnacentral:lncRNA from 1 species
GGCUAAUCCUGGGGAGUGUGCCCAAGAUCAAGGAGGAGUGGGCACAUGCAGGAGAUCCCUACAGUUUGAAGUCUAGAAAGUCAAAGCGUUAGCGAAGCCUUGGCCAGCAAAGAGAGCUAGCAAAUGCUAAGUGCACGGUCCCCUCCCAAGGCCUUCAGUCCUUAGGUUCCCUGGAUGCAGACGGCAAAGGGCACUCAGAAAUGCACAGAGGAAGCAGAAACCACCUGCCAUCUCUUUGUCGGACAAGUCAACUUUUCUCUCUGACCCCACAGACAACCUCACUAUCUUCAAGGAGAAACCCGGAGCCGUGUGAUGACAGGUUCCCCUCCUUUGCUCUGCAAGCUUCCUCAUUAUGGGCAAGCUCCUGCCCUAUCCUCCUUUGACUUGUGCCUUCAGGGCAUGAUAAAGCUUGUAGUUACUCCAAACCCGACCACAGAUCCUCUCUGAGGUUCACUACAAAGAAUGUAGAGAUUUGGAUGUUUGACUCAGGGUAGGAAUUUGUCAUAGUCCCAGCUUAUUAUGGGGAGGGGAGAAGCCCCACCAAUUGACAGGCAAACCAAAAUAUUCUUUUCAUGCUGGCACUAUAAUCCAAAGAGCAUACCUCAAGGCAGUCUUCAAUGAUACUCCAAAACUUGCAGCAAAUGAUCAAAGACACAGACUAUUGGCUUAGAAUGGGUGCUGCUGCUGAUAGAACCACACACCGCAGCCUCUGCCAGCCUCAUGCAUCAGCAAAUGUGCUCAGCUGAGACAAGUGUCAUCCUUACCUGUUCUCCAUCAAGAAUUCAGCCUGUAGUUCAAAGAGAAUCCAGCUUCUCUGCCUGCAAAACCAGUAGGAUUUUCACAUUAUUGUUAGAUCUUACCCAAUGCAAGGUGAUCUUCAUUCUGUGGCUGACAUCUGUGAAAUGACCAGAAGCUUUCUGGGACUCAUCGUCCCUGAGUCCCGCAGCCUCUGGGUGUAUGCCACCACAACCAUGCAUCUCCAUGGCCGCCACGGAUGCCACUGCAAAGCAUUCUGCCCCUGGAGCAACAGUGUCUUGGCUUCGACUCCCACCGGCAGAGCAGAAGAAACCUCACAGCUUCUCUAGAAAAUGGCCUUAUGUCCUUUUGGGGAGAAGCUGGGGAGUAUUUAACAGAUGCAUUUGCAGAGGUGUUUCAGAGGCCUUCCUCAGAAGAAUCUGGUCCUCCCUUCAAUCCAUAGACUCUGCUUUUAUGACUGAGAUCUUGGACCUGAUGAGGAUGUAUGACUCUCUUUGGGAGAGUGACAUCAGCCUUCUACCUGCUGGCUCCCUCUCUUUCUUUCUUUAAACCAUAGGUGCUAAACAACACCCAUGUUGGCUGGGUGUGCAUCUCUCCUCUGGAAGCACCAACUUCUCCAGCCACAGUCAGUGGCCCCACAUGUCUCGCACCCUGAUUGCCAUUCCAGCCUCACUGCCCACUGCAGUAACUGUGCCCGCCUUGCCUCUGAAGGUUAAGUUUUGCCAUUGGCCUUGGCCAUUCCGGAGUCCCAUCAGCCCUCACUGUUAUUAAGGGAGUCUGUUCUGCUGCACCAGCUACCCCUCUCCCAUGUGGCCAGCAGAAAAAUCACUGGGAGACUAGUGCCAACUCUGCAACCUGUGCAUUCCCUGAUGCCUUUAGAGCACGGUGUGUCUCUAAGAGGGAGUGAAAGUUAGUUCAACCACUGGGGAAAGCAGUAUGGUGAUUUCUCAAAGAGCUGAAAGCAGAACUCCCAUUCCAUCCACCAAUCCGAUUACUGGGUAUAUACCCAGACAAAUGUAAAUCAUUCUACCGUAAAGACACACGCACAAGAAUGUUCACUGCAGCACUAUUCACAAUAGCAAAGACAUGGAAUCACCCUAAAUGCCCAUCAAUGACAGAUUGGAUAAAGAAAAUAUGGUACAUAUACACCAUGGAAUACUAUGCAGCUAUAAACAAGAAUGAGAUCAUGUCUUUUGCAGGAACAUGGAUGGAGCUGGAGGCCAUUAUCCUUAGCAAGCUAACACAGGAACAGAAAACCAAUAUCACAGGUUCUCACUCGUAAGUGGGAGCUAAACGAUAAGAACUUAUGAACACAAACAAGGGAACAACAGACACUGUGGUCUACUUGAGGGUGAGGGUUGGGAGGAGGGAGAGGAGCAGAAAAGAGAACUAUUGGGUACUGAGCUUAAUAUCUGAGUAAUGAAAUAAUCUGUAGAAUAAAUCCCCAUGGCCCGUGAUUACCUCUGUAGCAAACCUCCACAUGCAGCCCUAAACCUAAAAUAAAUGUUAAAUUAAAGAGAUAAGGGCCUGUCCUUUGAACUCUCCCAGAGCACUCUGAUUUUACACAGUAGCCCCCUUUUAUCCACAGCUUUGCCUUCCACAGUUUCAGUUACCCACUGUCAACGGUGGUCAGAAAAUAUUAAAUGGAAAGUUCCAGAAAUAAACAAUUCAUAAGUUUUCAAUUAUUUGCAGUGCUAAGUAGUGUAAUGAAAUCUCAC